rnacentral:lncRNA from 1 species
GGAAACACAAGACUAUGCGGAGGCAUUUCUGAUCUCCACCUUCCAGAGUGCAAGUUUAAAGAAUCGAGGUGGUCUCGUAGCAAGAAACUAACAAUCUCAUUAGUCUCCGCAUUCACUGUUCUUGGAGUAGCUACGCUGCUGACGUUUCUUUUUCUUUGCUUCUUGAAAAAGAGAAGCAAAGAAACUCCAUCAAGCAUAUUGGCGAACUCUGUUUUACAAGUGUCGUAUAGUGCUCUCUUGAAAGCUACUGAUGGCUUCUCUGCAUCAAAUUUGAUUGGUGCUGGUAGUUUUGGUUCUGUAUACAAAGGAAUUCUUGGUGAAGAUGAAGAACAACUUGUUGCUGUGAAGGUUUUUAACAUGUUACGCCGGGGAGCUUCCAAGAGUUUCCUAGUUGAAUGUGAGACACUCAGAAAUAUCAGACACCGAAAUCUAGUCCCGAUUAUAACUACAUGUUCCAGUGUGGACUCUCAUGGUAAUGAUUUCAAGGCUUUGGUUUAUAAGUUCAUGGAGAAUGGGAGCUUAGAGGAGUGGCUGCAUCCAACUACUGAGACAGAAGACACACCAAAGAGUUUAAGUCUUGUUCAGAGGCUAGACAUUACCAUUGACGUUGCAUGUGCAGUGGAUUAUCUUCAUAAUCAUUGCGAAACACCAAUAGUUCAUUGCGAUCUCAAGCCGAGCAAUGUUCUUUUGGACCGCGACUUGACAGGACAUGUUGCUGAUUUUGGAUUAGCUAGAAUCCUCUCAAGACUAGUUGAUAACUUUUCAGCAAAUCAAUCAAGUUCCAUUGGAAUAAGAGGGACUGUUGGUUAUGCUGCUCCAGGUUAUUUUGUGCUAAUAUUUUUUUUUUGUAGUUUCAUCAAUGAGAGUUGUUUUUGUUAACAAUUGUGAUGUUUGAAAGCAGAGUAUGGAAUGGGAAGUGAGGUUUCAACAUAUGGAGAUGUCUACAGCUUCGGCAUUCUCUUGUUAGAGAUGUUUACAGGGAAGAGGCCUACUGACCACAUCUUCAUGGAUGGUUUGAACCUUCACAAGUGUACGAAGAUGGCCAUUGAGGAACGAGUUUCAGAGAUUGCAUAUUCAUCACUUGUUCAAGAAGGCAAUCUAAGGCAGAGCACCAAUGAUGCUCUUGAAGAAUGCUUGAGUUCAAUACUAGCAAUUGGAGUUGCAUGCUCUGUGGAAUCCCCAACAGACCGAAAGAUUAUCAAGGAUGCUGUGUCUGAACUAAAAAAGAUUCGAGCGACUCUUGUUGGAUAGAAACUUUGCUAUUAUUUUGUUAUGGCUUUCACUUCCUAUCAUGCUUUUAUGUGCUGCGUGCUUUAGUUUCACGUUUUGUUGCUGCUAUAUGUGCUAUAAAGUUAUGUUUAGUUCUCUAUUUCUCUAGUUGUAUCUUAAUUCCUAUACCGUUUCAAGUUUGGUUGUUUGCUUUUAUCUUCCUUUAGUUUUAGUUCAAUUUUAAAUUAAUAAUGCAAUAGGAAUAGCUGAUAUGCAGUCGAUCAGUUGAUAUGAGGCACUGAAUAAUGCCUAAAUCUGAAACAGCUAAUGAGCUACAAUAUCAGUGUGUGAGAGAUUUGUAAAGAGAGGAGUAAAAUGAAGUAUGUUUGCUCAAAAUGAUCAAGUUCAAGAAAGUCUGUUUCUUUUUCAUCCUUUCGAUAUACAAAUCUUUCACAAAAAUGAUGACAGAAUGAUACAGCAAUAUACCACAUUUCCAUGAAAAAGAAGAGAAAUUGUAUGUUUAAUUUACCAAGACUGUUUUGGUUCCAGCAGACUUAACUUCUUAGGUAGAUCAGUGCUUACACUCCUUACAGCUUCAGCAAAAUCCUGAUCCUCAAAAUAUCACCUCGGCUCCUCUUAGGCAUAUUGGUCAACGUCAUUGGUUUGUGGCCAUACUAGUUGCUCAUCCCCACACUGCAUGAUACAACAAACAAAUAGUGUGAGCUACAUCUCAAAACACUUCAAAAACAUAUAUUUGGAAAACUAGUAUAUCCAUAAUUCCAUAUGUAUCAAUAAUCAAACGAUUUUCUUAUAUAUAAAAAUAAGAAUAACAAUCAACAACAUAAAAGAUUGCACGUCACACAUCAAUAUUGUGAGUAACACUUAUAUGCUCAAUGAUAUACUUUGAUAUAACUAUCGAAUAUUUGUAAUUUUUUUCGAUGAAUUUGUAAUCCUAUGUCUCAUUAUUAUUCGACACCGACCCGAAAAAUGAUCCAGCAAGAACACGAAACUCGUACUAUUUGGGUUGGGCCUGAAGAAGUUACUGUUCACCGAUAUCUAUAUAAAUACACCAUCGUCCUAUUUUUACCGCACUCUUUUAGUUUUCGUCUUCAACCACAUCUCUCUCUUCUUCUUCGAUUUGAAAAUCCAUGGAGGCCAUCCAACCAAACCCUACCGAAACCCUAGAUCACCAACCCGCCUCCAACAAACCACAACCCCCCGGAUUCUCUAGUCUCCAACUACAAGGACCCGUCCCCGCCGCCAUCGCAAACCCUAGCCUCCCACGCCGCCUCCAAGAACGGCACUCCGGCCGACGCCAGCAAGGCGGUCGCUCUGUUGAUCUCUGUUGAUCUCGGCACACGUAAAGCGGCACGACCAACACGCAAAUUUACCAUCUUCUAUAAGUUAGUUUUGUGAGGCCUCGAAUGAAACUCACAAAUUUUCACAACCUCAUAACCGAUACAAAAUGGUGAAUGUGAAACUGACCCCAACAUACUUGCUCUCCCAUACACCAGCACUACUACUAGUAGUAGCAUUUGCUUUUGUUUGUUGCUGCAGCUCCAUGGCCUCAAGCACGGACAACAAUAAGUUGGAGCUUGGACGAGGAAACUAGACGGAUAGGCUCGCACUGCUCGCCAUUAAAGCUCAAAUACACCAAGAUCCAAACAGGCUGUUUUGGCCAUGAUCCUCAGCAGGGAGCAGAGAAGUAACUAGUGCUACCAAAAGUAAACUAGGGUUUCAGGGCAUGCCACUGCGCGGACGCGGGAUGUGAACUGUGCGCGUUCUUAACUUCUAACCAGGCGAAAGGGAGCUCCGGUGUCACCUUGCGGACGAGGAAUUACGAGCAAAACCUCUUAGUCACCUGUGAAUCGAUACUCACUGUUAGAGCGAGCAGAGCAACAAUUAGGAAAGAAAGGCGAGUCCAGUCGGGCUCUGAGAACUAAGGCGUGGUGCAAUUAGAACUUUAAGGUUUCGAGGAUGCUCGAGAGUUUGUAAGUAGUUUUUGUAUGAUUUGAUUGUAUGUUCUUAGACCAGAUCCUCAAACUCCCUUAUAUAGCGAUCCGCAAAUAGUUGGCAAAGACAUAAUCACAAACCCACUCGGACUUAGCAAUUAGAAUUCCACAAGGAUACAACCAGCUCGCGAACCGCGCUAUCCAUGCGACAUGUGUCCAGAACAGACUUCACUUAGGUCUCACUCACCGCCCCGCAUCAUCUUACUGUAGCGUUGUAUGCGAACUUCGAACACUAAGCGAUCUUAUCCCACGAGGUGCUACAGUCCCUUUCCAACUCUACCUCGCCAUGCACUACGGAAUCCUACGCGAACUGAAACGAGGAUCUCGCGAGGUAUCGAAGUCCUUGACAAAUUCCACCUCGCGCGCUGUCAGAGCGCGCCACCCUACAUGGGCUUCAUAUCUAAAAAAGGGCCACAGGUACUGGCCCAAAUGUUAUCCAAAACUUAUUGCGAGUCUUGGACCAAAAUCCCCGCUGGGCUCAAACACAGGCCUGUGAUGAGUUCGUGGAAUGAGUCCACUCAAUUUUGCAUGUGGUAUCGUGUCACUUGUAGCCGACGACAUCUUUAGAGGGUCACUAGGCUGAACCUAACUUCCCUGAAGUUAUCCGGGUCCAUAUCUCCUCACAUAGGAAGCCUGAGCUUCUUAAGGGAGUUAUGCCUCUAUAAUAAUAGCUUCACCAACAAAAUUCCUGCAGAAAUUGGGCACUUGCGGAGAUUGCAGAAAUUACGUCUAGGAAACAACUCACUAAGUGGUCCUAUUCCUGCCAAUAUCUCCAAUUGCUUCAACCUCAGAAUCUUCGAUGUUCAUAAGAACAUGCUAGUAGGUAACAUUCCUCCAGAACUUGGUUCCUUGUCUAAGCUUGAGUAUCUUGUUUUGCAAGUUAAUAAUUUAACAGGAGAGGUACCUCCUCCCUUGGGUAACCUUUCUAAUCUUGAAGCACUUGAUUUUCAUAAGAAUAACUUGGUGGGUAAUAUUCCUAGUUCUCUAGGCCAACUGAAAAAAAUUAACAUUUUUUGGAGUAGAGCACAAUAGGUUGUCUGGUACCAUCCUCCCUCCAUCUACAACAUAUCCAGUCUCGUUACUUUUGCCAUAUCAGACAACCAAAUUCAAGGGAGCAUUCCCCCAUCCUUGUUCAGACCCCUUUCGAAUCUCCAAUAUUUUAGCAUCUACGAAAAUAACUUUUUAGGAUCACUUCCUCUCUCAAUAAGCAAUGCCACUAAUCUGGUGGACUUCGAAGUUGAUGAGAAUAAACUGACAGGACAAGUGCCAAAUUUACAAAAGCUUCGUAACCUUGUGUUCUUCAAUAUUGUUGGUAAUCAUCUCGGAAGUGACAGUGAUGGGGACUUAAGUUUUUUCUCAGACUUGACCAAUGCCACGCAGUUGGAGUGGCUGGAAAUAGGAUUCAACAAAUUCGGAGGAACGUUGCCCGCAUCAUUAUCUAAUCUCUCAACCCUUGAAAUUCUACAUGUUGUGCACAACCGUUUACACGGAAGCAUCCCUGCAGGGAUAGGGAAUAUGGUCCACUUGAACCAAUUGAAUUUGGGUGAUAACAUGUUCACAGGUAAUAUUCCCACUGACAUCGGGAAGCUUUCAGGUAUUCGGAUAUUGGAAUUUGGAAACAACAGAUUAUUCGGGAGCCUCCCAUCCUCUCUAGGAAAUCUGACAUCAUUACUUCGUCUCGAAUUGCAAGGAAAUCACUUUAAUGGCACCAUCCCUAGAAGCCUCGGGGAAUGCCGUUCAUUGCUGCUGUUGAAUCUUUCUUGUAAUAACCUUAGUGGCGACAUCCCUCCACAAGUUAUUGGCCUUUCCUCCUUAUCAAUAUAUUUGGAUUUGUCCGAGAAUCGUCUCAGUGGUUCUCUUCCCUUGGAGGUAGGAAAGUUAAAAACUCUAGGUAUAUUAAAUGUCUCUAAUAAUAUGUUAUCAGGAAAACUUCCUGGUAGCUUUGGUAGUUGUGAGAGUUUGGAAGUCCUGCUCAUGCGAGGAAACUUCUUUGACGGCCCCAUUCCUUCAGCUUUGGGCUCCUUGAAAGGGAUUCGAGAGUUAGACCUUUCCCACAACAAUCUCUCUGGUGAGAUUCCUGAGUUUCUAGCGGGGCUUGGAGGUUUGAAGCAACUUAACUUGUCUUUCAAAGAAUUUUGGGGUGCACUGCCAGUUAGAGGUGUCUUUAACAAUACAAGUGCCAUUUCAGUUGUCGGAAACACAAGACUUUGCGGAGGUAUUUCUGAUAUCCACCUUCCAAAGUGCAAGUUUAAAGAAUCGAGGUGGUCUCGUAGCAAGAAACUAACAAUCUCAUUAGUCUCCGCAUUCACUGUUCUUGGAGUAGCUAUGCUGUGGACGUUUCUUUUUCUUUGUUUCUUGAAAAAGAGACGCAAAGAAACUCCAUCAAGCUCAUUGGCGAACUUUGUUUUACAAGUGUCGUAUAGUGCUCUCUUGAAAGCUACUGAGGGCUUCUCUGCAGCAAAUUUGAUUGGUGCUGGUAGUUUUGGGUCUGUAUACAAAGGAAUUCUCGGCGAAGAUGGAGCUCAUCUUGUUGCUGUGAAGGUGUUUAACAUGUUACGCCGGGGUGCUUCGAAGAGUUUCCUAGCCGAAUGCGAGGCACUCAGAAAUAUAAGACACCGAAAUCUAGUCCCGAUUAUAACUGCAUGUUCAAGUGUGGACUCUCAUGGUAAUGAUUUCAAGGCUUUGGUUUAUAAGUUCNNNNNNNNNNNNNNNNNNNNNNNNNNNNNNNNNNNNNNNNNNNNNNNNNNNNNNNNNNNNNNNNNNNNNNNNNNNNNNNNNNNNNNNNNNNNNNNNNNNNNNNNNNNNNNNNNNNNNNNNNNNNNNNNNNNNNNNNNNNNNNNNNNNNNNNNNNNNNNNNNNNNNNNNNNNNNNNNNNNNNNNNNNNNNNNNNNNNNNNNNNNNNNNNNNNNNNNNNNNNNNNNNNNNNNNNNNNNNNNNNNNNNNNNNNNNNNNNNNNNNNNNNNNNNNNNNNNNNNNNNNNNNNNNNNNNNNNNNNNNNNNNNNNNNNNNNNNNNNNNNNNNNNNNNNNNNNNNNNNNNNNNNNNNNNNNNNNNNNNNNNNNNNNNNNNNNNNNNNNNNNNNNNNNNNNNNNNNNNNNNNNNNNNNNNNNNNNNNNNNNNNNNNNNNNNNNNAAGAACGCUUGAGUUCAAUACUAGAAAUUGGAGUUGCAUGCUCUAUGGAAUCUCCACCAGACCGCAAGAAUAUCAGUGAUGUUGUGUCUAAGCUGAAAAAGAUUCGAGCCACUCUUGUUGGAUAGAAAGUUAAAUGUGCUAUUAUUUUGUUAUAGCUUUCCCUGCCCUUCACUCUUUUAUUUGCUGCCUAUUUUCAAGUCUUGUUGCUCGUAUAUAUGCAUGAAUAAAGUUUAGGUAAAAUACUAUAUCUUUUGUUCUGUGAGGCCUUGAUUUAGAGAGGCGCUUUCAUGCUUUUAUUUGCUGCCUAUUUUCAAGUCUUGUUGCUCUUAUAUAUGCAUGAAUAAAGUUUAGGUAAAAUAGAGAUAUACAGUAGAGAUAUCAUUUUCCACCCAAUUUUCCUAGUUUGGUUUAAGGAAUGUAAAGGAAAGGAAAGGAAAGGAAAUCUUUUAUUUUUCCUUUGACAAGGAAAAGGAAAGGAAAGUGAAUCCUUAGGGUGGGGGGAGAGAACCAUUUUCCACCCAUUUUUUCUUUCAUGUGGGAACCAUUUUCCUUGCCCACUCUUUUCCUUUUGGUUUCCAAACAAUGGAAAGUAAUGACUUUCCUUUCCCAAUGGCUUGAUUCCAUGAACAAAAGAGGUUAAAAAAUUCAGUAUAUAGAGAUAUAUUAUAGUAUAAUUAUAUAGAGAUAUCAUCCUUAUCUCAACAAUGCAUAUACAUAUACAGUACUAAACUACAAGGCAAAUUACAGAAGUGAAACUACCAUAACCAUUUUCAAACCUGGCAUCGAAAGUUUGAACAAGGGGCAUUCUUCCAAGGAGGGAGAUGAGAUCAUUGACACACUUGUUGCUACUCUUGCUGUGCCUUUUCAUACUGCUAAUUCCUGAAGAUCCAAGCUCGUAUACCUUCCCUGCAUUGUCUAUGUCCCCAACUUAAACAUCGAGUUUGCUAGAGGGAAUCAGGCAUGAAUUUAGCACCAACAGCUCAGAACUACUAUGACACAGUUCAGACAUUGCCAAGAACAGAUACCAAAUCUUAUUGUAAAUAGGGGAUUCAAAUUUCGAGUUUCUAAGAGUCGUUGGCUUAGUGGGAAAUUUAUAUGAAACUAGCAUCAGUUACAUCAAUUUCAUGUGAAGUACUGAAUGAAAAGGUUCACAUUUUCACAAAUAAAAGAGGAAGUUGUCAAACAAGUAAAAGGCUGUCCAUAUGAGUACACAAAUUUCACACUAGAGGCCAGAUCAAUAACAACAGAAGUCUUUGAUGAAUGCAGCAUAUACUGACUAUGCCUAGGACAAACUAUUGUGAAAUGUUCUAUCGUUAGAGUGAUUCAUAAGCUUGCUUCGAAAAGAAAGAGAAUUUAAGCCUAUAUGAGUUUAUAGUUUAGAGUCAAUUAGACAAUGCCACAAAUCAUGAGCCUAAAAUCCAGUCAUGUAAAGACAACGAAAUGCGAAAGUACCUUUCACCCAGAUACUGUGGCAUUAGAACAAGCAAGGACACUGCAAUAUCUUCACAAUUUCUGCAUAAGCACAUUAGAUCGAUAAUCAAUCUAUAAUACCAGGGCAAGCACAUAAGAAAACGACGUAAGUCAACAUGAUAUCGUAUCACAUUGGUACCAAAUAUUCAGAACAAAAAUUAUAAAAGACAUUAGUAACAAGAAAUAUGCCAGACGAGACAAUCACAUGAAUAAAUUCUAUAGAAAAGAAACCAGGGAAUACUUUCUCUACAGUAAAGAACUUACCUGUUUUCUUUGUAUUGAUUGAAGAAAUGAAACGGAGGGAAUGAAAUAGAAGAGAAGAGAAUGCGCAAACACCUGAAAUGGGUGGAGCCGAUUCUCGUCUCUGCUGUGUUUGGCAGAGAAAGGAAGAAGACCCAGCACGAGUGGGAGUGAACGACAUGUCGCCGCACAGUCAUACUGUUGUAUUUCCUAUAUCCACACUUAGCUAUAUGUUAAUCUGUAUUUUCUCUUUACUGAUAUUGCCCCGUUGUAGAAGCAACUCAAGCGCGCAAGUCAAGUCGUCUUUGGGAACUAGAGGAACCUGACACGUUACUUUGAACUUUUGACCAAUUAACCAAAGUGUCUGAACGCAGAUUUACCAUCUUCUAUAAGUUCCAUUGGAAUAAGAGGGACUGUUGGUUAUGUUGCUCCAGGUCUGUAAUUACAUGUUAUUUUGUACUACUAAUUUUUUUUUGUAGCUAGCUAGGGUAGUUUCAUCAAUGAGAGCUGUUUUUGUUAACAACUGUGAUGUUUGAACCGCAGAGUAUGGAAUGGGAGAAGUGAGGUUUCGACAUAUGGAGAUGUCUACAGCUUCGGUAUUCUCUUGUUAGAGAUAUUUACAGGGAAGAGACCAACUGACCACAUCUUCAUGGACAAUUUGAACCUUCAUAAGUGUGUGAAGAUGGCCUUGGGCAAACGAGUUUCAGAGAUUGCAGAUUCGUCACUUGUUCAAGAAGGCAAUCCGAGGCAGAGCAUCAACGAUGCUCUUGAAGAAUGAUUGAGUUCAGUAUUAGGUAUUGGAGUUGCAUGCUCUGUGGAAUCCCCAACAAAGCGAAAGAAUAUCGGUGAUGUUGUGUCUGAACUGAAAAAGAUUCAAGCAACGUACUCUUGUUGGAUAGAAACUUUGCUAUUGUUCUGUUAUGGCUUUCACUGCCUAUCAUGCUUUUAUGUGUUGCGUGCUGUAAUUUCAUGUUUGCUGUUGUUAUAUGUGCUUCAAUAAAGUUAUGUAUACAUUAUGUUUAGUUCUCUAUUUCUCUAGUUGUAUCCUAAUUCCUAUACCGUUUCAAGUUUUGUUGUUUGCUUUUAUCUUCCUUUAGUUGUAGUUCAAUUUCUAGGCCAUUGAAUGAAUAAUGCAAUAGGAAUAGCUGAUAUGAGGCAAUGAAUAAUGCCUAAAUUUGAAACAGCUACUGAGCUACGUACAAUAUCAGUGUGUGAGAGAUAUGUAUGGUUUUGGUGGAGAGCUGAUAUGAGGCAAUAGAUGAUGUACAUGAUUGGGAUUUCCAAGGCGACAAUGAGUUUUAGGCACUUCUCUUGGUGUUCUUUCCUUUCUGCAAGUCUCUAGCUACAGUACUUAUCACAUAUUUAUGUUCAGUUUCUUGAUGCAAGUCUCAAGUUUCUUCCCAGGCAGCCUGUGUAAUCAGAUAUCCAUGUUAAUCCACAAUAUGGCAUCUUAACGUACUCUGAGAUUAGUUAAACUAUUAAUGCUAGUAAACUGGGUUAAAUUUUAAUAGCCCGCCACAACUCUUUUGGGAUUAUUUUUCUUCAUUGACCUACUGGUGAGAGCAGAUCCUACUAGUGUGGGAUCUUAACUGAUUUGUGAUCCUUAAAACUUCAAAAGCUGAAUAAUUGGAGUCACGCACUCACGCAUAGACUACAACAUUUCUAGUCACUAUAACAAAAUGGUGGAUGUGAAAUUGACCUCGUCUUUUUGCAUUCUUGCACUAGCAGGUUGCAGAAGCAAGUCAAUCGCCGACUGAAUUGACCUCAUGCUGUAAAAAGCAAAAUUACCAUGCAUAAUCCUAAUUGAAUCGAAUCCAAACCAAUUGCCGAUUUUGCCGCCAAGUCAUCAUCUUCCAUUGCAGCACAGCCAACCUCACCAUCGAACAGCCUAGCCGAUUAUAACAGUAGCAAUGGUGGGUUGUGAAGAACAAAGAUAUAUUAUACUAAGCAUUUGUAUGUCUCACAUUUACCAGUUUAAGUGGGAAAGUUUAUCACCAAGUGACAAUGUUCUAAAAGGCGGUAGGCGGGUAGUAACUCACAGCCUAGAGCCUAGACAGCCUAGGCGAGGAUUAGGCAGGGACUGAAAGGAUUCAAGGUUUAUUGAAAUGAAAUGCAAAACACUACAUCUUGUAUUUCAUCUUAAUCAUGAACAAUGUACAUCUCAUAGCUUUUAUAGGUAGGGAUUCUAUACAAAUGACCGAACUACCCUUAUACUCUUAACACCCUCCCUCAACCAUAUGCUUGGCUAAGCAUAAUGGUUGGCACAAAGCAAACAACCAAAAAAUACAGAUGUAGAAUCCAUUACAAAACUAUUAACCCAAAUCAAAAACCCAACUACUUGAUAUCAAAAGAGCAUCCAUCUUGACAUUCGGCUAUCAAAGGAGGAUAAGAGAGCUUGCUGGAAAAUUUCACAGUUCACAUGGAAAAUAGUGCAACAAUACAUGAAGCAUCCUUGGCAACACAUAGCAGCAAAGAUGUAUAACUAAAAGUCCAAAUCUGAAAACUUCAUAUUUUUAACACAUUGAAAAGCUUCAUUUGCUGGAAAAAAAAAACUACAUCUUUUCCUUCAAUUGUAUACUAAUAAACUGCAUAUGUCACUUAAUGCAUCAACUUUUAUAGGCACUACACACUUGCAAAUCCAAUUGAUAUAUGGCCUCAAUAUACUUAGCAUUCCAUCAGAAUAUUACCAGCAGCUCCCAUAUUUAUAUAUCGGCAACACAAUCCAAACUUAAGAAUCUGACUUAAUAUUGAAAAUGCAUAUGCACUCUAGCAGCUCAUAACUAACUUAACUCCUCUCUACACUUGAAUUGACUCCUCAAAGCUUUGCAUACGACCCAAACUCCUUCGCAGCAAUAUAACAAAGGCAGUAAACACAACAAAUUCCUAUCAAAUAGGAAAACAUCCUCCAAAACUGAUCACACCCAGCACAUAGAACCAUACAACCAAUUUAUAAUCCAACUUGCCAAACCAAUUCACCAGGCCAAAACAGAAUAUUAAACUACUUCAUCACCUUCUUCUUUUGGUUGAUGGCAGACACAAAUUUUGAUAAAAGAAAAAAAAAGGCAAAUUGAUGAUAUUAACAGGGCAAAUUAAACCAGAAACCAAUUCUACAAAUCCAAUGAUAGGGAUGCAAAAAAAUUAGGAAGAUAUUACCCAUCCUACUGAAAAAUCUGAUGCUAACUGAGGUGGGUGCGUAAGAAAUUGAUAAGCCAAAGCACAAUCAUGAUAUCAAACAAAGAUAGCCUCAAAUCACCAUCAGAAAUCGAAGCCCAGAAUAUCCAUCUCUCACCGUCAAAUCACCUCCCCCCACUGCUACAUCCAACUAGAUCAAAGCAAUAAGCACAAAGAAGAGAGAGAGUCUAGUACCAAAAUUUGAGCCCAUAGAUUGCAGAUCGAAGAAUAAGAUCAGAAUAGACCACGACGAAGUCGAGGACCAAAACUCCAAAGUCGCGAACAGAGGUGCGCCGAUGAGGCCGGAAAACAACCGAGAUGGUCUCCAUCAAUGACCGAUUUUCGAUCUAAGGACUGCACGGGUCUGAAUUUGGAAGGCAUGAGGCUAGGGUUUUGAUAUUGGGGAAAACUGAAAAGAAGGCUAUGAAAACUAAAAACGCGGAAGCAAUCGAAGCACACAGCCACAAGAAUGUGACCAUGGCUCUGAUACCAUGAAAGGAUUCAAGGUUUAUUGAAAUGAAAUGUAAAACAGUAAUGUAAAAAAGCAGAGCUCUGACGGACUACAUCUUGUAUUUCAUCUUAAUCAUGAACAGUGUACAUCUCAUAGCUUUUAUAGGGUAAGAAUUCUAUGCAAAUGACUGAACUAUCCUUAUACUCUUAACAAGGACUAGACGAUUUAUAUUUUUUAAGAUUUAUUAAUUAAAAAUAUAUAUUUUAUGCAAUUUAAUAUUUAAAAAUGUUAAAUAUAGAUAAAUUAUUCAACAUAAAUCUAGUCAUACCUAUUUAUAAAAUAAAUAAUAGCUAAAAUGUGACAUUACUUCCCGUAAAAAUGAGCAACAACAACAAUAAACAUAUACUUCUAAUUUUAAACACAUCAUUAACUCUCAUACUCUCCACAAUAUAACAAUCUCAUCACAAAAAGAAAACAAAAUUAGCCGGAGAACUUAAUAGCCUAGGCGGGCUAGGCAGCAUUUAGGUGGGAUAAGCGGCCGCCUAAUCGCCCACAGCUUGACACAAAGGCCUCGAAGAAAAGCGAGGCGGCUUGUUGCAGCCUAGAGCCUAGGCGGGGACUAGGUGGUCCUAGGUAGGGCCUUUUAGAAGCUUGCCAAGUGAUAAUGGUGUUAUAUUAUCUUACAAGUCACGAAAGAAACAUCUCCUUAGGACCUUAGCAAACUUUUAUUGUAGUGGAAGCACGUCUUUGGAAAUUUGAGCUGGCCAACACUUCUUGAUCGUCCUUCACUUCAAACUUUCAACCAACCAAAGUGCCUGUGGUCAUGUAUUUCCACAUGAUCAAUCGACAUUAAUGUCAAGUCAAGUCGCCGGAACCAAGUCAAGUCGUCGUCUUUGCAAAUUAAGCAAGUCAAGUCGUAUUCGGAAACCAAGUCAUCAGUCCACUGCUAGAUUGUUCGUUACAUCAAACUAUUAGUGUUCUGAACCCAAAUAUUCACAACCCCAUAACGAAUUCAAAAAUCAAAAUGGUGGAAGUGAAAUUGACCUGAACCUCAACAUGCUUGCUUUCCAAUCCACAAGCACUAGUACAUGUACUAGCAUUUGCUCUUCUCUAUUGCUGCAGUUCCAUGGCCUCAACCUCUCUAGGAAACGAGACGGAUAGGCUGGCAUUGCUUGCCAUUAAAGCUCAAAUACAUCAAGACCCUAAUCGGCCGGUCAUGAACUCAUGGAAUGAGUCCACUCAUUUUUGCAUGUGGUAUGGUGUCACAUGCGGCCGACGCCAUCUUCAGAGGGUCACUAAGCUGGACCUUCGCUCCUUGAAAUUGUCCGGGUCCGUAUCUCCUCACAUAGGAAAUCUGAGCUUCCUAAGGGCGUUAUACCUCUUUGAUAAUAGCCUCACCAACAAAUUCCCUCCAGAAAUUGGGCACUUGCGGAGGUUGUAUCGUUUAUGUCCCCAACUUAAACAUCAAGUUUACUAGAGGGAAGCAGGCAUGAAUUUAGCACCAAAAGCUCAUAACUACUAUGACACUGUUCAGGCAUAGCCAAGAAUAGAUACCAAAUCCAAUUGUAACGAGGGGAUUCAAAUUUCGAGUUCCUAAGAGUCGUUGGCUUAGUGGGAAGUUUAUAUGAAUUUAUAUGUAACUAGCAUCAUGAACAUCAAUUUUAUGUGAACUCAGAUUUUAAGUAUUAUCCCGAGCAACUUUGUCUUUAAAUCGUUGAGGAGCACUUAUUUUUGGAAUUGAUGAGAACACAAAAGUAAAUGUUGCAUACAACAGAAUCAUCCAUGUAUAAUGCAACUCCAUAUAGAAACUCUCAAAGUUAACUCCGAAAACAACCAUCCAGACAAGGCUUAAGUACAAAAUUAUUAGAGCGUAUAAUGCAUAGAACAAUUUCUGGCCCUCUUAUCUUCUGUUUCAGAUGUGUCUGUACACGUACUGAAACAUAAUAAUCCCUAGCCUGCAAUGAUAACUUAUGUCAAGUUUUCAUGAUAUGGGUUAACCAAAUGACGAUCUUAAUUUAUAGUAAAUCAAAUCCCACUGAAUGGUAAGUUACCUUCAUUUCAUUCACAACAUCCACUGCGAAAACAGUCAAAACAUCUCAGCAAUAAUCACAUCAGCUCAAACAAAACAAAACGUUGAUUCAAAUUUAAAAUUAAAAACCGAAACAAAGUUAAGCUGCUAUUUGGAAAUGAACAGGAUCAGUCGUAAUCACAAUCCUUACAUUUCUUCGGAGAGCUCAGCACGAGGGUUUGAAUCAAAGCAACGCUGAGAAGAAGACUAGGGAUUCGAUUUCUUCGAAAUUCGACAUCAGCAUUGCAUGGAAUUUGGAUCAGUUUCAAAAUUAUGUUCUGAUCAAGCACUUCACUGAUGUGCUUAUCGAGAAACUCGCGUAGUCAUAAUCAUAUCUAAUUUCUUCAUACAAUUGUUAAAAAUGGUUAGUAUAGUGAUAGCGCAAUUUCAAUGUUGGGUUGGAAUUUUAUGCCACAUAUCAACUGUCUUCAUUUAUUGCGACAUAUAAUUUCGUCUACCAUGGGUUGGAAUUUCAUGCAAAGACUAGACUUUCGAAGUCUUUGGUGGGUGAAUUUGUGCCACCAUUGGAAUCAAGUGAAGUCAGUUAACACUGCAUGAUCGUCCGUUGCUUGAAACUUUCAACCAACCAAAGUGUGCGAUGCAGAUCAUCUGAUCCCGUAUGCCCCAUCCUAUAAUUAAGCUGGUUGUGUAUGGCCUCAAGUGGAGCUUACAAUUCUUCACAACCCCGUAACCAAUUCAAAAUGUUGUUUAUUUCGGGUAUGAAAAUCACCUCAUCUUACUUACUUUCCAAUGCACUAGUACUGGCAUUUGCUUUUGUUUGUUGCUGCAACUCCAUGGCCUUAAACAUGGACAGCAAUAGGCUAGAGCUUGGAAGAGGAAACGAGACGGAUCGGCUGGCAUUGCUUGCCAUUAAAGCUCAAAUACAUCAAGAUCCUAAUCGGCCGGUCAUGAGCUCCUGGAAUGAGUCCACUCAUUUUUGCAUGUGGUAUGGUGUCACCUGCAGCCGACGCCAUCUUCAGAGGGUCACUAAGCUGAACCUAACUUCCCUGAAGUUAUCCGGGUCCGUAUCUCCGCACAUAGGAAACCUUAGCUUCCUGAGGGAGUUACUCCUCUACAAUAAUAGCCUCACCAACAAAAUCCCUCCAGAAAUUGGGCACUUGCAAAGGUUGCAGAUAUUAAGUCUACGAAAGAAUUCACUCAAUGGUCCUAUUCCUACCAGUAUCUCCAAUCUCUUCAACCUCAGAAUCCUCGCUGUUCAAUACAACUUGCUGGUAGGUAACAUUCCUCCACAACUUGGUUCCUUGUCUAAGCUUGAGUUUCUUGGUUUGCAAGUUAAUAAUUUAACAGGAAAGAUAUCUCCUUUCUUGGGUAACCUUUCUAGUCUCGACUCACUUGUUGCUUAUGAGAAUAACUUGGUGGGAAGUAUUCCAAGUUCUCUAGGCCAACUGAAAAAAUUAACAUAUUUCGGACUAUACGCGAAUAGGUUGUCUGGUAACAUUCCUCCUUCCAUCUAUAAUAUCUCUAGUCUCCUUAAUUUUACCAUAUCAAGAAACCAAUUUCAAGGGAGCAUUCCCCCAUCCUUGUUCAGAACCCUUUCGAAUCUCCAAUAUUUUAGCAUUUUCGGAAAUCAGUUUACUGGAUCACUUCCUCUCUCAAUAAGCAAUGCUACUAAUCUAGCGGAAUUUCAAUUUCAAAAAAACAAACUAACAGGACAAGUGCCAAAUUUACAAAAGCUUCGUAACCUUAGGAAGUUAAACAUCGCUAGUAAUCAUCUCGGAAGUGGCAGUGAUGGGGACUUAAGUUUUUUAUCAGACUUGACUAAUGCCACGAGGUUGGAGUGGUUGCUAAUAGGAUACAAUAAUUUCGGAGGGAAAUUGCCCGCAUCAAUAUCUAAUGUCUCAACCCUUUCAGUUCUACAUGUUUUGAACAACCGUUUACAUGGAAGCAUCCCUGCAGGGGUAGGGAGUUUGGUCAACAUGAACAAAUUGUAUUUGGCUCAUAACAUGUUCACAGGUAAUAUUCCCACUGACAUCGGAAAGCUUUCAGGUCUUGGGAUAUUGAAAUUUGAUAACAACAGAUUAUCCGGGAGCCUCCCAUCCUCUGUGGGAAAUUUGACAACGUUAGUUCGACUCGAAUUGCAAGGAAAUAGUUUUAAUGGCACCAUUCCUGCAAGCCUUGGGGAAUGUCAUUCGUUGCUGCGGUUGGAUCUUUCUGGCAAUAACCUUACUGGCGAGAUUCCUCCACAAGUUAUUGGCCUUCAGUCCUUAUCAAUAUAUUUGGACUUGUCCGAAAAUCGUCUCAGUGGUUCCCUUCCCUUGGAGGUAGGAAAGUUAAAAACUCUAGGUAUAUUAAAUGUCUCCAACAAUAUGUUAUCAGGAAAUCUUCCAAGUAACCUUGGUAGCUGUGAGAGUUUAGAAGUCCUUCUCUUGCAAGGGAACUUCUUUGACGGCCCCAUUCCUUUAGCUUUAGGAUCCUUGAAAGGGAUUCGAGAGUUAGACCUUUCACACAACAAUCUCUCCGGUGAGAUUCCUGAGUUUCUAGCGGGGCUUGGAGGUUUGAAGCAACUUAACCUGUCUUUCAACGAAUUUUGGGGUGCACUGCCAGUUAAAGGUGUCUUUAACAAUGCAAGUGUCAUUUCAGUUGUCGGAAACACAAGACUUUGCGGAGGCAUUUCUGAUCUCCACCUUCCAAAGUGCAAGUCUAAAGAACCGAGGUCUCUUAGCAAGAAACUGACAAUCUCAUUAGUCUCCGCAUUCACUGUUCUUGGAGUAGCUAUGUUGUUGACAUUUCUCUUUCUUUGUUUCUUGAAAAAGAGAAGCAAAGAAACUCCAUCAAGCACAUUAAUGAACGAUGCGUUGCAAGUAUCAUAUAGUGCUCUCUUGAAAGCUACUGAUAGCUUCUCUGUAGCAAAUUUGAUUGGUGCUGGUAGUUUUGGGUCUGUAUACAAAGGAGUUCUCGGCGAAGAUGAAGCUCAGCUUGUUGCUGUGAAGGUGUUUAACAUGUUACGUCGGGGAGCAUCCAAGAGUUUUCUAGCCGAAUGUGAGGCACUCAAAAAUAUCAGACACCGAAAUCUAGUCCCGAUUAUAACUGCGUGUUCCGGUGUGGACUCUCGUGGCAAUGAUUUCAAGGCUUUGGUUUAUAAGCUCAUGGAGAAUGGGAGCUUAGAGGAGUGGCUGCAUCCAACUACUGAGACAGAAGACACACCAAAGAGUUUAAGUCUUGUUCAAAGCCUAGACAUUGCCAUUGACGUUGCAUGUGCAGUGGAUUAUCUUCAUAAUCAUUGUGAAACACCAAUAGUUCAUUGCGAUCUCAAGCCGAGCAAUGUUCUUUUGGACCACGACUUGACGGGACAUGUUGCUGAUUUUGGAUUAGCUAGAAUCCUCUCAAGACUAGCUGAUAACGUUUCAGCAAAUCAAUCAAGUUCCAUUGGAAUAAGAGGGACUGUUGGUUAUGCUGCUCCAGGUAUGUACUUUAUAUGCUAUUUUCAACUAUAUUUCUUGUAGCUAGCUAGGUAGUUUGAUUAAUGAGAGCUGCUUUUGUUAACAAACUGUGUUGUUUGAAUCGCAGAGUAUGGAAUGGGAAGUGAGGUAUCGACAUAUGGAGAUGUCUAUAGCUUCGGCAUUCUCUUGUUAGAGAUGUUUACAGGGAAGAGGCCCACUGACCACAUAUUUGUGGACAGUUUGAACCUUCACAAUUGUGUGAAGAUGGCCCUCGGCAAUCUAGUUUCAGGGAUUGCAGACUCAUCACUUGUUCAAGAAGGCAAUCCGAACCAAAGCACCAAUGAUGCUUUUGAAGAACGCUUGAGUUCAAUACUAGAAAUUGGAGUUGCAUGCUCUGUGGAAUCUCCACCAGACCGCAAGAAUAUCAGUGAUGCUGUAUCUGAGCUGAAAAAGAUUCGAGCCACUCUUGUUGGAUAGAAAGUUGGAAACUUUGCUAUUGUUCUGUUAUGGCUUUCCCUGCCCUCCAUGCUUUUAUUUGCUGUCUUUUUUCAAGUCUUGUUGCUCUUAUAUAUGCAUAAAUAAAGUUAGGUAAAAUACUACAUAUUUUACUCUGUAUUAGGCCUUGAUUGAGGGCACAUCAAUGAUCAAUUUCAUUAAAAAGAAUAGAAAAAUCAGCUUCUCUGUUUCCUAAUUCUUUACAUCGUGCCAUUCCAUAUUUCUAGUACAUUGGUUCAAAUGAAUAAAGCAAUAGGAGACUUAGGAGUACGGUCAAAUGAAAUGAUCAGUGAAGGUUCUAUGUGGUGAAAAGUCCACAAUUAACUCAGGACUAGUCUAAUGAAUACAAGUCUCAGUGAGUUAAGGUCAACUAAUUCUGUGAUAAACUAUAUGAAUGUGUGUGGCUUGUCUGUGCAAAUUUCUAUCUUGUUCUAGAACAAGCUUAUCAGAGAUUUAUUUUAUCAAAAUUUGGCAAGGUUCAUUGGGUUUACUAAGGUUUAGUGAACCAAAGCUACUUGAAUGGAAAUCAUCAAAAUCUACAACCAAGAGAGAUAUGAAGAUGCCGAGUAGAAUCCUCAGUAAAAGGAACACAGUUCCAGUACAAUUAAUAAACGCUCAAGAAUUUGAGUAUAAUGAAAUAGAAUCUAGUGUGCGAGAAGCAUCUGCUCCUAGAUUUAAAUUCAAUAAGAUCUACAAAAGGAUCUUUCAUUAUAGAUUCUCACAGAUUCAAGAUUCUUGAAUUAACUGUUCCAGCCACAGGUGGAGAAACAAAUAUCAAGUUGAUAACUCCUAAAGAAGUAAGUGAAGCUUUCCAGAAAAAAUAUUCAUAUAUGCAUAUUGGCGCGGUCCAAGUAGGAAUAAAACUCUUAGCCAGAGAUGGUAUUGACUGUUCGGUUCUAUGUGUCUUACAAGACGAUAAAAUAACAGACUUCAAGAAAAGUCUAUUAGGAACGGUGGAAGCUUGUUUGUGCAACCAAGUUGCAUAUUUCAAUGUAUUUUCAAAUUUCACAACUCAUCUCAGAGAUGCUGCUCACUAUCUAAGAUUGAGAAUCAAGACAGAUGGGAUUUCCAUGAAAAAAGAAAUGAUGGAACUUGCGAUAGAUUAUCGAAUCUAUUAUAAGUUGAUGAGCUCAAAUGUGACUCCUAAUACCAGGUUUUCAAAUAGCUCUGUGAUUACCAUAUCUGUUCUCAGCAACCCAAAAAAUAAUUCUCAGCAAAAACAUGUCACAAAAUGGCAUGAAGUAACAUUCCCAAGAGAAUGGAAUCUGACCCCUCCUGUCAAACAGCUUGAAAGCUCCAAUGCUUCAGUUUAUGAAGACAUGGGAGGAAAGAUAAGCUUACAGUUUCAUAGGCAUUCGUUUGCUAAUUAUAAAGAAGCUAGUUCCUCUGGAACUAAAUCAGCAUAUCUUGAAGAAUCCUUUGAAGAAGAGGAUACUAAAAGACCUAUGAAAAUAUUUAGAGUAGGAGAGUUAAAAGAAUUAUAUGCACAAGCUGAAACUUGUGAAUCCAUAAAAGAAUUAGAAGAAAUCAUGCUCCAGAUUUCUCAAAUUCAACUUGGAAAAAAUAAGAGGAAGAUUCUUCCUUAUCAAGCUGCAAAAGAAGAACCAGAGCCAUAUGGAUCUUCGAUGGAAACAAAUGGUGAAAGGCAGACUCCUCCAGAUGGUGGCCAUACCAUAGUGCAGAACAUCACAAACAAUCCAACAAAGAUCAUUCGUGAAAAGAAUAUUAAACUUCCAAAAGGACAAGCUCCUACAGGAAGGUAUGGAGAACAAAGUUCUCCGAAGUAUAUCCUUACAGAACCCAAAUGGGGACAGUCUGUGUCCGAAAGAGGGGUUUAUUUGGAUUUAGACCAGGUAGGAGAUAAAAGAAAGACAAUAGACAACUGGGUUGCUAGUUUAAAGUUAACUCAGGCUCUAGUGUUAUCCAAAUAUGCCUACGAGGAAGCUCAUGCAUACUAUGAGUCGACCUUAACUGGAAUAGUCUAGAAAUGGUACCAGUCCUUUAAGAGAAGUUCUAAAUGGGCUGAUUGCCAGUCCUGUAAUGAUGCUGUAACACAAUCUUUGGAAGAAAACCCCCUCCAGUAUUUUACUGUAGGAGGAAUAGCAUUUCAAGUAAAUGUUUUACAACCCAAUAUCAAAAGUCGCCAGCGAAGAGUGGUGAUUAUAAGCUAAUUUUAAAGCCAGUUUGCUGUUACAAGAACAGCUUAAAGGGUAUAAUGAAAUAUUGGUAAAUGAAGAAGCAAGUUCAGAAGACUCUAAAUCAGAGGAAAAUUCCGAAUAUUAACGAGAGUUCUGAUGGAGAAGAAGAAUACAUCAGAGAGCAUAACCUAAAAGUAUAUGCUACAAGGAUAGACCAAAAGAAGAUUUCGACUCUCGCAGAAAUAGAAAAUUUGUUGAAACUAGUAAUCAGUGAAAAUCCUCAGUUGUAUUGGGAAAGAGACCCAAUAUAUUGUCAGCUAAGAAUGCAUGAUGCAAAUGCUAUUUACCAUGUUAAGGCCAUCCCUCACUAUAAGGAAGAAGAUAGGAAAGAAAUGGAAAGUCAGAUCCAAGAGCUGCUGGAAAAGAAGUUAAUCAGGCCUUCAAACAGUCCUCAUCAUGCCCCAGCAUUCUUGGUGAGAAAUCAUGCAUAACAAUUAAGAGGAAAAGCAAGAAUGGUGAUUGAUUACAAGGAUGUAAAUAAAAAGACCGUUAAAGACGGCUAUCAGAUAGCUCAGGUGAGAGUUCUCAUUAACAGGCUUAAAGGAGCGAAAAUCUUCUCUAAGUUUGAUGCAAAAUCAGGCUUUUGGCAAGUUAAGUUGCAUCUUGAUUCCAUAGCUUUUACAGCUUUUGGAACUCCUCAAGGGCAUUAUGAAUGGUUAGUUAUGCCAUUCGGUCUAAAGCAAGCUCUGUCUAUUUUCUAAAGGAAAAUGGAUAAUAUCUUCAAACCCUACUCAGAUUUUUGCGUAGUUUAUAUAGAUGACAUUCUUGUCUUCUCCAAAACUAUGAAUGAACAUCUAAAGCAUCUGGAACAGGUGUGUAAACUUAUUGUCCAAAAAGGAAUCAUUCUUGGACAGAAGAAAUUCAUCUUAUUAAAGGUGAAAUUGAUUUCCUUAGCAUUCAUGUGAAAGAUGGAGAGAUUCGUCUCCAAGAUCAUAUUGUUAAGAAAGUUAGUCAAUUUCUAGACAAUAUCCCAAAUGCAAAAUCCUUGCAAAGAUUUUUGGGAGUUGUUAAUUUUGCAAGAGACUUUAUCCCUCAAGUCAGUGGUCUCACUGCACUUCUCUCUCCAAAAACAAGUUCUAAAAAGAAAUGGUCUUUCACGGAAGAUGACAGUAAUACUGUCAGAAAGAUAAAAGAAUUAACAAAAAACCUCCCUCCUUUACGGUUACCUGAAGAAGGAGAUUUGAUCAUUUUGCAAACUGAUGCAAAUGAUUAUUAUUGGGCAGGAGUUGUUUUAGCUGUUGCCCCAAAUACAAAUCAUGAGAAGAUUUGUAAAUUCCUAUCAGGAAAGUUUAACGCAGCAGAGUUAAACUAUUCUACUGGAGACAAGGAAGUCCUUGCCUUAAUAAAAAGCAUCAAGGGUGCUGAAGUGUACCUAGGAAAUAAAUUUGUAGUAAGAACUGAUAACAAAAGAGUUAAAAAUUUCAAAAACUACAAAUUAACUGAUGCUGCUGAUAGAGGAAGAAUUUUGAGAUGGCAAAUGUUUUUAACUCAAUAUGAUUAUGAUGUUAAAAUGAUUGCAGGUGACAAGAACUAUUUGCCUGAUGCGCUUACAAGAGAAAUGGCGAUGUUUGAAAGAGAAGGUCGCAAUCCAAGAAGCCGGAAACCAGUAUCGGAAGAAAAAAAGCUUUGGGAAAGAUACAAGAGCGGUGAUAAAACCUUAGGACCUCUCCAGGAUGGACCAGGUUAUCAGUACAUUGUUUCUUAUGGAGCUGCUGAGUCAAGCCAACCUUCAGAAAGAAUCAAGCUAAGACUAGACCAAGCAUGGGAUGAGCUUUCAGAUCAUUCUAAAAAAGAUACAGAUCAGUAUGUUACUACUGAUGAAAAAAAGCUCGUAAGUGAGUUCUUGCUGUGUCCGAAAGGAUCAGCCUCAACUGACCAGUCUCAGGGGAAAAGACCGGCUAGCUUGUCUCAAACGGCAGACGGUAAAUGCAUAUCAAGUCCGUUUAUGGCUGCUGCUUUGCCAAAAAGCAGGAAUGCCUCUUUCAGGGCAAAAAAGCUACCUUUAGUCACUGGGAAGAAGGUCAUUCAUGAUCAAUCUUUAAAGAUCUUUCAAAAGCCAGUUUUCAGAACAGAUAGACUAUUGGCCUUUAAGCAGAAGAUUAUUAUUGAUAAUAUUCUGUAUUCUUUUUAUGAGGAAAAUGAAGCUCAUUUACUUCAAACCCUCAAAGCUUUAACUGAAGAAAUGUAUGGAGUCCAUACCAAAGAAAAAGAACCUCUAGCAGAAACCUCCAAGGUUGUCUACCUUGAAAAUCCUGAAAGUGCUAAAAUUCCAAUGAUAGCACUAAAAGAAUCUGAGUGGUAUAGCUUUCACAAUAUCUUAGGUGAAGGUAAAAAUGUUCUUCCAAGAACAUUAUCAACAGUCCCUGGCCCAUAUUAUGGGAGAUAUAUAUUUGGUUGAUGUUCAAGCAGAACACCCUCAGAAACAUAAGUUAUGGCUUGUAGAAAACGGUUUUGUUCAUAAUCUAUGGACAAAAACUAAUGAAGACUUGAAGGGUUUUCCUGAAAUAAUAUCUGAAGCAGUCAAGAAUAUUAGACCUGAUGGAUGUAUCUUAAGGUUAAAAUUCAUUUCUACUCUUCCAGAAUGGGCAGUGGUAGAUGGUUAGAUGAAUUAUAAUCCUCCAUAUCAUCAUGUCAGGUUAAUCCAAAGCCCAAUUCAAAAAUCAGCCAUUGCAGGUGGCAAUGGUAGACCAAAUCAAAGCAUCCCCUGGAUGAAGGCUAUGGCUAUAGCUAUUAUCAAAGAUAUGGUUCUAAGAGACUAUGAUUCAAGUCUUUUGGCAAGUGGAGAAAAAAUAAUGGUCACUUGCUAUAAUCACCCUCCACUAGAGAAUUGUGAUUUUUUCACAGCUCUUAUGAGGAAAGAAGUGGACUGCACUCUGGCUACCUCGGUAUGACUAGAGAAAGUUGAGAAGGAUGAAAAGUAUAAGAUUUCUUAUCCUUUUGAUUCAGAUCUUGACAACGAAGAAGAAGAUGACACGGCACGUGAAGAAGAAUACAACUGUCCCAACUCCUUAGUGGGAUAUGAUGAAGAUCCAGAAGAAUAUCACAACAUAGUAAAUAUGUUGGAAGCAUGAAUGGUGGCCGACGCAUCAGGCCAAACAACUUUUUUUUUGAUAAAAAGAAAAAGGGCUACCAACACAUGAAGACAGUAGACUUUACUUUUCAUAAAAAAAAAGGUAAAGUUUUCAAGAUAGGAUUCCUCUUGUCUCCCACAAUGUAUAGGCUUGUUUUAAUUCUUGUUUGGAGUCCGCUCCCUAUAUAAGGAGCCUUAGGCGUCAGUAAGAAGGCAUCGAGAAGGAACUAGAGAUAGAAGUUGGAAGUUCUCUCAACCUUCCUCAAGAAGUAAGAUAGCCAAAAUAAAAUCUUUGUAAUAUAGUAGUGUGAGAAUAAGAGAGUGUGUGCUAUAGUCAUCUGGUGUAGAGUGUUGUAUAAUACAAGUAAGUAUUUAUCUUGUAAUCAUGAGUAACUAAACAGCCUUUAGCUAUUUACCUAAGAGCGAGGCUCUGAGUUUUGUAUUUGUAAUUAUGUUUGAAUAAAUUCUUCUUAGUGCUCAAAAUCCCGUCACAAAAAUAUAUUGCAUAUAUAUAUGUUAUAUUUUGCUUUUCUAUUAAGAAAAAUUUCUCUGCAUGUUAAUUAGAUCUUAACCUAUUUAGACAGCAGUGAUUCCGCCGUAGUCAGUAACCAGGUCGAUCAUGGGUCUUUAGGUGAAAAUUUUCGACACGUUGAAUGCUAGUUCUUUUUAAGAUGUGCUCUUAAUUAUUAUUUGCAGGAAAUGAUAACUUUGUGGUAAAACCUGUAAAGCAAGUCAUUAAUAGGUCACCCUUGUCCACUUGUUAUAUAAAACAAUAGAAAAGCAGUUUGCAUCUCAUGCAGCACUGCAUAAUAGACAUACCCGGAGUAGCUAUGAUGUUGACAUUUCUCUUUUUUCUUGAAAAAGAGAGGCAAAGAAAAUUCAUUAAGCACAUUGGCGGACUCUAUGUUGCAAGUGUCGUACAAUACUCUCUUGAAAGCUACUGAUGGCUUCUCGGCAUCAAAUUUGAUUGGUGCUGGUAGUUUUGGGUCUGUAUACAAAGGAGUUCUCGGCGAAGAUGGAGCUCAGCUUGUUGCUGUGAAGGUGUUUAACAUGUUACGCCGAGGAGCAUCCAAGAGUUUUCUAGCUGAAUGUGAGGCACUAAAAAAUAUCAGACACCGAAAUCUAGUCCCGAUUAUAACUGCAUGUUCAAGUGUGGACUCUCAAAGUAAUGAUUUCAAGGCUUUGGUUUAUAAGUUCAUGGAGAAUGGGAGCUUAGAGGAGUGGUUGCAUCCAACUAAUGGGACAGAAAACACACCAAAAAGUUUGAGUCUUGUCCAGAGGUUAGACAUUGCCAUUGAUGUUGCUUCUGCGGUGGAUUAUCUUCAUAACCACUGCGAAACAUCAAUUGUGCAUUGCGAUCUCAAGCCUAGCAAUGUUCUUUUGGACAAUAACUUGACGGGACAUGUUGCUGAUUUUGGAUUAGCUAGAAUCCUCUCAAGACUAGCCGAUAACGUUUCAGCAAAUCAAUCAAGUUCCAUUGGAAUAAGAGGAACUGUUGGUUAUGCUGCUUCAGGUAUGUACUUACAUGUUAUUUUGUACUACUAUUUUUUUUUGUAGCUAGCUAGGGUAGUUUCAUCAAUGAGAGCUGUUUUUGUUAACAACUGUGAUGUUUGAAUCGCAGAGUAUGGAAUGGGAGAAGUGAGGUGUCAUAUGGAGAUGUCUAUAGCUUUGUUGGCUCGUGCUAAGUUGUCUGCUAUCCAACAGGAUAUUGCUUCUAAUAGUUCCAAUGAUAUCAACUUUGAAGCUGAAGUUAUGGCAAAGGCUGAGGUUCUUGCGGCUGUCAAGCGUCAGGAGGCUUUUUGGAGAGACAGAGCUCGUGUUAAAUGGUUUACUGAGGGUGAUAAAUGCUCUAAGUUUUUCCAUGCUUAUGCCCGAAACAAGGCAAUGCGAUCUUCAAUUAAUUGUUUAAAAGCUGGGGAUAAUCUGAUUACUGCUCCACAAGGUAUUGCGAGUCAUGUUGUUGAAUUUUAUUAAUCUCUAUAUGCCUCCAAUGUUGCUCCUGUUGGUGUGGCUGAUUUUUGCAGGGUCAUUCCCUCCUUGGUUUAUGAGGAGGAUAAUUUAUUAUUGUCUUCUAUUCCCACUUCAGAAGAGGUUCGACGUACUGUUUUUUCUAUGGAUCCCUCUAGUGCUCCUGGUCCAGAUGGGUUUCUGGGAUCUUUUUUACCAUUGUUGGGAUAUUGUCGGUGAGGAUGUCAUCAGCUUUGUGCAAUUCUUUUUCCAACAAAAUUGGUUGUAUCCAAAUGCCAAUUCUAACUUCAUUGUGUUGAUUCCAAAGAUUGAAGGGGCGAAUGUGAUCUCUCAGUUUAGGCCCAUUGCUCUGGCCAAUUUCUUAUUUAAGAUUAUUCCAAAAAUUAUGGCAGAUCGAUUGGGUCCUAUAGCUUCCCGUAUUAUUUCUCCUCAUCAAGCCGCUUUUCUUAAAGGUCGGAGAAUUGCAGAUUGUAUUAGUCUUGUUUCUGAGGGUUUCAACCUAUUGGAUAGGAAAAGCUACGGAGGUAAUGUGGGUAUUAAAGUUGAUAUUGCCAAAGCUUUUGACACUUUGAAUUGGGAGUUUCUUUUUGAGGUUUUGGCGCGGUUUGGGUUUUCUUCAAGGUUCAAAAAUUUAAUCCAGACUAUAUUACAAUCUGCUAGACUGUCAGUCUUGAUUAAUGGGACGCCACAUGGUUUCUUUUCUUGUGACCGAGGGGUACGACAAGGGGAUCCUUUAUCUCCCUUAUUAUUUUGUAUUGCAGAGGAAGCUCUAAGCCGAGGUUUGUCUUCUCUAUUUGCUGCGAGAAAGAUUAAACCUAUUGCUAUGCUGAGGAGAUGUUUGUUUACUCAUGUGCUCUAUGCGGAUGAUUUUUUUAUCUUUUGUCGAGGGGAUGUUUCUUCUCUUAAUUGCCUGCAACUCUUCUUAGAUGAAUAUGCUGCUGCUUCUGGCCAAUCAAUAAAUAAAGAGAAGAGUACUUUUUAUACUGGGGACAACUAUUCUCAUCGUCGCAGAGUGAUUAAACGUCAAUUGGGCUUCAAGUUAGGUACUACCCCUUUUACUUAUCUUGGUGUUCCUAUUUUCAAAGGCAAGCCUCGACGUAUUCACCUUCAAGCAAUUGCUGAUAGGGCUAAAGCUCGUCUAGCUGGAUGGCAUGGCAAGUUGUUGUCCAUGGCAGGUCGGGUUCAAUUGGUUCAUGAUGUAUUCCAGAGUCUACUUAUUCAUAGUUUUUCUGUUUAUAUAUGGCCCUCUUCACUCUUGAAACACUUGUUGACGUGUGCUAGAAACUUUAUUUGGUCUGGGGAGUUAUCUAAAAAAAACUUGUUGUUGUCUCUUGGCGGCGGGUUUGUGUGCCAAAGCAAGAAGGUGGUCUGGGGCUACGUGAUAUCAAGUCUCUUAACAUGGCAGCUCUCAUAUCCCUUGGUUGGUCUACUAUUACAUCGGGAUCUAUAUGGAAUAGCUAUGCUUCUCAACGAUUUUCUAUAUGCUGCAAUAUGAAGGAUCGAUAUUUUCAGUCCUCUGUUUGGCAUGGUUUAAAGGUAGCUCUUCCUUUUAUUUUUCAACACUCUAAGUGGCUUAUUGGUGAUGGCAAAUCGGUGAAUUUAUGGAUGGAUAAGUGGUUGAAUGCUCCUUUUAAUUGAUAAGUUGCACGCUUCCAGUUUUCCUAAGCGUUUGACAUGUAUGGUGGACGCUUUUAUCACUAACCAACAAUGGACUUUGCCAAGUCAAUUUUUAGUUUCUUUUCCAGCUUUGGCAAAUGAAAUCCUUCAUAUCCCGCUCCCAGUUGAACCUGAGAAGGAUUUAUUAAUUUGGGAGCCAUCAACCUCAGGUUCAUUCUCUUUCUCUGAUGGAUACCAUCUUAUUCGGCAAUCUUUUUCAGAAGAUGUGUGGGUUUCUAAGGUUUGGCGUUCUUUCAUCCCCCCUCAGUUAUCUUUACUUGCAUGGCGUCUCUUUCAUGAUAAGUUACCUACUGAUGUGCGGCUUCAAAAAGGGGUAUCCCAAUGGUGUCAGUUUGCCAGCUUUGUACUUUUGCCUAUGUUGAGGAUUCUACUCACUUAUUUGUCACCUGUUCUUUUGCUCAACAUGUUUGGCAAUGGUUGGCUUGCUGUUUUGGGACUAGGUUACCGACUAGUGGUACUAUUGGUGAUUUAUUUGCCUAAGUGUUUCUCUCCUCAAUUGAAGAAUAUUUGGCUUGCCAGUAGCCUUUAUGCUCUUAUGGCUAUAUGGAAAGCGCGUAACAAGAUUAGAUUUGAGGACAUAAGCCCUUCACUCAUGCGAAUUUUCUCCUCUCUCAAGGCUUGGAUUCGCUUUGCUACUCCUCACAUUCCAGGUCAUUCGAAUGGUAAGGUUGACUCUCAGUUGUUGGUUGGGUUGGGUAUUCAACCUAUUCAUAAAAAUCAAGCAGUGCCUCGGCUAGUUCUCUGGCACCCUCCUUUUUUUCCUUGGAUUAAAUUGAAUACCGAUGGUCUUGCAAAGGGUAACCCAGGAUCUGCAGCUUGUGGUGGGGUUUUCCGCGACACCCAUGGUCAUUACAUUGGUGGUUACUGUAAAGGAUUAGGUCACAAUUCGGCUUUCUACUCGGAGCUUAUGGGUGUGAUCAUUGGGGUUGAAUAUGCCUUUCAAUUUGGUUGGCAAUGCCUCUGGCUGGAGAGCGAUUCGACUAGUGUGAUUACAUGUAUUAACUCUUCUUCUUUUGUUCCUCCUUGGCCGCUUUGAAUUGCCUGGCUCACCUGCUUAGCACGUAUUCGUACGUGACCUUUCGUUGCUCUCAUAUUUUUCGGGAAGGAAAUACAGUGGCUGAUAGAAUGGCAAACAUUGGUCUUCUCUCUCCUUCCCUAGUAUGGCAUGCUUCUCCUCCAUCUAAUCUAUCUCCUUACCUUCGUAUGGAUGAUCUGGGAUUUCCUUAUUUACGAUAUGCUUAACUUUUACUUUAUGGGUUGGUGUUCUUUUAGCAUUUUCUUUCGUUUUAGGGGUAAGGUAUAUGUCCCCCCCUCUGUUCUGGAUGUAAUUUUCUUUUCUUUUUUAUUUUUAUUAAUAAAAUAAAAAUAAGGGGACGGGCGGUGGGCUCCCAGAGUGUGGCAGACCCUUCUCCUUUGGGAUUGAAGGUGGGACUUGUUCCCUACAUUGUCUGCCUCCGAGGGGCUAAUAUCGCCUAAUCCUUUAUUAUUUAAAAAAAAAAAUGUUUACAGGGAAGAGACCCACUGAGCACAUGUUCAUGGACGAUUUGAACCUUCAUUAGUGUGUGAAGAUGGCCUUGGGCAAACGAGUUUCAGAGAUUGCAGAUUCGUCACUUAUUCAAGAAGGCAAUUCGAGGCAGAGCAUCAACGAUGCUCUUGAAGAAUGCUCGAGUUCAGUGCUAGGUAUUGGAGUUGCAUGCUCUGUGGAAUCCCCAACAGAGCGAAAGAAUAUCGGUGAUGUUGUGUCUGAACUGAAAAAGAUUCGAGCAACUCUUGUUGGAUAGAAACUUUGCAACUGUUCUGUUAUGGUUUUCACUGCCUAUCAUGCUUUUAUGUGUUGCGCGCUUUAAUUUCAUGUUUGUUGCUGUUAUAUGUGCUUGAAUAAAGUCAUGUAUACAUUAUGUUUAGUUCUCUAUUUCUCUAGUUGUAUCCUAAUUCCUAUACCGUUUCAAGUUUUGUUGUUUGCUUUUAUCUUCGUUUAGUUGUAGUUCAAUUUCUAGGCCAUUGAAUGAAUAAUGCAAUAGGAAUAGCUGAUAUGAGGCAAUG